rnacentral:tmRNA from 1 species
GGGGAUGAUUGAUUCGACGAUGACGCACGUUGAAAAACUGCAAGCCGGCGAUGACAAAAGAGCCGUAAAAAUUAUUGUCAAACCAUAAUUGCUAACGAACUUAGCGAGCUUGAUGAGUCAGCGCUUCGCGCGUUGGCUCUUGAGCGACAACAGGCACGAUUUGCGUUUGCGCGAGCAAACUAUUUGACUGCCUAAGUCCAUCUUUAGCAUUCUUUAUUCGGUGGGAAACUAAAGGUGUAAACACAGCCGGAUCGUCAGAAAUCAGCUGACCGACUGAUUUCGGAGUAGACAAGGUCAAACCCGAUUGCUUAUUUUGUCUAUUUUAUAGAGUAAUCGGUAUUAAAUAGACUACGCUUGUAGACGUUUGCGAUGUGCUUCUUCGGACCCGAGCUCAUUACUCGGCAUCUCCACAC